CCUACGGGAGGCAGCAGUGGGGAAUAUUGCACAAUGGGGGAAACCCUGAUGCAGCGACGCCGCGUGAGUGAAGAAGUAUUUCGGUAUGUAAAGCUCUGUCAGCAGGGAAGAAAAUGACGGUACCUGAGUAAGAAGCCCGGGCUAACUACGUGCCAGCAGCCGCGGUAAUACGUAGGGGGCAAGCGUUAUCCGGAUUUACUGGGUGUAAAGGGAGCGUAGACGGCAGUGCAAGUCUGGAGUGAAAGGCGGGGGCUCAACCCCCGGACUGCUCUUGAAACUGUACGGCUGGAGUGCAGGAGAGGGAAGUGGAAUUCCUAGUGUAGCGGUGAAAUGCGUAGAUAUUAGGAGGAACACCAGUGGCGAAGGCGGCUUACUGGACUGUAACUGACGUUGAGGCUCGAAAGCGUGGGGAGCAAACAGGAUUAGAUACCCCGGUAGUC
rnacentral:rRNA from 1 species